GACAGAGGUGCCGAGCGUUAGGCGGAAUCACUGGGCUUAAAGCGUGUGUAGGCGGCCCGUUAAGUGUCCGAGUGAAAUCCCCCGGCUCAACCGGGGAACCGCCGGGCAUACUGGCGGGCUUGGGCCGCUCAGGGGCAGACGGAACAGGCGGUGGAGCGGUGAAAUGCGUAGAUAUCAGGAGGAACACCGGUGGCGAAGGCGGGUCUCUGGGCCGAUACUGACGCUGAGGAGCGAAAGCGUGGGGAGCGAACAGG
rnacentral:rRNA from 1 species